rnacentral:rRNA from 1 species
GCUACGAGGAUACUGUAGUAAUUCUAGAGCUAAUACAUGCCACUAUGCCCUGACCCGCAAGGGGAUGGGUGGAUUUAUUAGAACAGAACCAACCGGGGAUGGCUUCGGUCGUUCCUGUUGAAAUCUGUGAUGACUCUGGAUAACUUUAUUGAUCGCAGUCGGCCUUGUGUCGGCGACGAAUCUUUCAAAUGUCUGCCCUAUCAACUUCCGAUGGUAGGUGAUCUGCCUACCAUGGUGAUAACGGGUAACGGGGAAUCAGGGUUCGAUUCCGGAGAGGGAGCCUGAGAAACGGCUACCACAUCCAAGGAAGGCAGCAGGCGCGAAAAUUACCCACUCCCAGAACGGGGAGGUAGUGACGAAAAAUACGAAUACGGGACUCUUCUGAGGCUCCGUAAUUCGAAUGAGUACAAUCUAAAUCCUUUAACGAGGACCAAUUGGAGGGCAAGUCUGGUGCCAGCAGCCGCGGUAACUCCAGCUCCAAAAGCGUAUAUUAAAGUUGCUGCAGUUAAAAAGCUCGUAGUUGGAUCUGGGUCGUGCGGUCGCGUGCCGGCGCUCGUUCAUUUGGCUUGGUCUUUGAUUGGGUCAUUUGCUCGUGCCGGCAUCGUGGUCGUGCAGCCUUUCAGCCGUGUCUGUGAAAACAGGUGCUGGUUUGGCCGGUGAGUCCGCUCGCUAGCCUGUCAGUAUGCUUCCGGGUGCCUUUCACUAGGUGCCGGGGGCGGACGGCACUUUUACUUUGAACAAAUUUGAGUGCUCAAAGCAGGCCUGUGCGCCUGAAAAUUCUUGCAUGGAAUAAUGGAUAAGGACUUCGGUUCUAUUUUGUUGGUUUUCGGAUCCGAAGUAAUGGUUAAGAGGGACAGACGGGGGCAUUUGUAUGGUUGCGUGAGAGGUGAAAUUCUGUGAUCGCAGCCAGACAAACUACAGCGAAAGCAUUUGCCAAGAAUGUUUUCAUUGAUCAGGAGCGAAAGUCAGAGGUUCGAAGACGAUCAGAUACCGUCCUAGUUCUGACCAUAAACGAUGCCAACUGACGAUCCGCGGUGGUUCUUUAAUUGGCCUCGCGGGCAGUCCCCGGGAAACCCUUAAGUCUUUGGCUCCGGGGGAAGUAUGGUUGCAAAGCUGAAACUUAAAGGAAUUGACGGAAGGGCACCACCAGGAGUGGAGCCUGCGGCUUAAUUCGACUCAACACGGGAAAACUCACCCGGCCCGGACACUGUGAGGAUUGACAGAUUGAUAGCUCUUUCUUGAUUCGGUGGUUGGUGGUGCAUGGCCGUUCUUAGUUGGUGGAGCGAUUUGUCUGGUUAAUUCCGAUAACGAACGAGACUUUGACCUACUAAAUAGUGUGCCCGUCCUCUGUGCUCGUGCAGGUCGCGGUAUCUAUUGCCUCUCAAGGUGGUGGAGCCGUAGACCGGCGUGUGCGGUGCGGGUGACCACUUCUUAGAGGGACAAGCGGCGUUGCUAGUCGCACGAAAUUGAGCAAUAACAGGUCUGUGAUGCCCUUAGAUGUCCGGGGCCGCACGUGCGCUACAAUGACGGUGCCAGCGAGUCUGGAAACCUAGCCCGAAAGGGCCGGGGAACCUGUUCCAUCACCGUCGUGACUGGGAUCGGGGCUUGCAAUUAUUCCCCGUGAACGAGGAAUUCCUGGUAAGUGCAAGUCAUAAGCUUGCGCUGAUUACGUCCCUGCCCUUUGUACACACCGCCCGUCGCUACUACCGAUUGAAUGUGUAAGCUGAGGCAAUCGGAUUGGUGCCGUUAUAGUGACUUUGUCGCUUGACUGG